rnacentral:rRNA from 1 species
UGGGGAAUUUGGACAAUGGGCGAAAGCCUGAUCCAGCAAUGCCGCGUGUGUGAAGAAGGCCUUCGGGUUGUAAAGCACUUUUGUCCGGAAAGAAAUCCUUGGCUCUAAUACAGUCGGGGGAUGACGGUACCGGAAGAAUAAGCACCGGCUAACUACGUGCCAGCAGCCGCGGUAAUACGUAGGGUGCAAGCGUUAAUCGGAAUUACUGGGCGUAAAGCGUGCGCAGGCGGUUUGCUAAGACCGAUGUGAAAUCCCCGGGCUCAACCUGGGAACUGCAUUGGUGACUGGCAGGCUAGAGUAUGGCAGAGGGGGGUAGAAUUCCACGUGUAGCAGUGAAAUGCGUAGAGAUGUGGAGAAUACCGAUGGCGAAGGCAGCCCCCUGGGCCAAUACUGACGCUCAUGCACGAAAGCGUGGGGAGCAAACAGGAUUAGAUACCCUGGUAGUCCACGCCCUAAACGAUGUCAACUAGUUGUUGGGGAUUCAUUUCCUUAGUAACGUAGCUAACGCGUGAAGUUGACCGCCUGGGGAGUACGUCGCAAGAUU